GGACUACUGGGGUAUCUAAUCCUGUUUGCUCCCCACGCUUUCGUGUCUCAGCGUCAGUACUCGUCCAGUUGGCCGCCUUCGCCACCGGUGUUCCUCUCGAUAUCUACGAAUUUCACCUCUACACCGAGAAUUCCACCAACCUCUCCGGUACUCGAGCCGUGCAGUUUCGGGUGCACUUCCCGGGUUGAGCCCGGGGCUUUCACAUCCGACUUGCAUAGCCGCCUACACACGCUUUACGCCCAGUAAUUCCGAACAACGUUUGCACCCUCUGUCUUACCGCGGCUGCUGGCAC
rnacentral:rRNA from 1 species